GUUGGAAGCUAACUAACGCCACUACUUUUGAACCAAACAUAAUUUACAGAACUAGUCUACACAUAAGAAAUCUAUUAACAGAAGUCUUGUAUUAUUUAUAUAAAUUUUAGAGGAAUACAAUAAAAGAAAUGAUUGUUGCUCACUUAUUUUCAAAUGUCAAACAAAAAUUCAGAAUCAAACUUUCGUUGGUACUGUUGGUGUGAGCUGUUAGAAUCAAAAUAGGAAAUACAAUCAAUCAAUGUAAAUCCUCAUUAUCAAGGGGUCAACCAUGAUCUUUGGCACCAAUUAUGUAUAGCUUAAAUAGGACACAUAUUUUUCCUAUAUAUAUGUACACCAUUCAAUGGAAUAAAACAUAUGAGAAAAAGUGCUUACCGUUUUAUCAUGGUAUCAGAGCAGAAUAUCAAUCCAGGGCACCUCCUCUAUCAAACAUUCAUACCCCUCUUCUUGUAAACCUUUCUUCGAACACAUGGCCGAUACUAGAAUUAUCACCGACUUAGGUGAUUUCCCACCCAAUCCAGAAACUUUAUUCCAAGAAUUUACCUAGAAAAUGGCAGAAACUUUAUCCAAAACUCAACAUCCAAACCCAAACAUCGAAAAUUCAAUACCAAUUGGCAUCAAACUGGACGAUACUAACUAUGCCUUGUGGUCCCAAAUUAUGGAGAUGUACAUCUCUGGAAAAGACAAGAUUGACUAUGUGAAUGGUGAUUCUCCAUUGCCUCCACAAACUGAUCCCAACUUUUGAAAGUGGCGAACGGACAACGCCAUUGUCAAGAGUUGGUUAAUUAACUCCAUGGACCCAGCCCUUAUUGGAAACUUCAUUCGUUUUUUUCACAGCGAAGGACGUAUGGGAUGUGAUUGCUACGAUGUAUUGCGACGGUAGUGAUUUGUCUCAAGUUUAUGAACUCCGACGACGAGUUACUCGACUGAGACAAUCGGAAGGUCUGUUGGAAAAAUACUAUAUGCAUUUGCAGGGGCUGUGGCAUGAGAUUGACUUUCGCCGCCCCAAUCCAAUGGAAUGUGCCACCGAUAUUCAACACUAUAACAAGAUGGUCCAAGAAGAUAGAGUUUACACCUUCUUGGAUGGACACAACGACCACCUGGACAGCAUUCGCAACAACGUGUUGCAGAUGAAGCCGUUUCUCUCCAUAGAACAAGCCUACGCACAUGUUCGCAGGGAGGCGCUUAGGCAUGCAGUUAUGGCCCCCAUCGACGUCGACGGCACCUUCAGUGCGGUUCUAGCCACCAAGGGAAUUAAGCUGGGUCCAAUUAUUGCCUCUUCUAAUGGGUCGAAGUCUA
rnacentral:lncRNA from 1 species